CACUAAGCUGAAUAAAUGGCCAGGUGAGGCAAGUUGGGAUAAACUCUGGAUGAAGAAUAUCUCAAGGGAGGUUCCUCUCAGUUGAAAAGGAUUGUCUCCAGAACAAAGGAAGCUCCUGAUGGUCUUGUGAUUGCAGCUUCAUCAAUAAGUCAGUGUUCCUAAUGCACCAACUGAACAGGAAUCCCUGAGGACAAGAGACCUCGAGAGCAUACAUGACUCAUCUUCGGCAGAACAUGAUUAUCUCCUGGAAAGCUAUUAUCAGCUACAAAGCGUCCUUGCAGGCAGCAGCUUUGGGCAAAGAAAGCACAACAGCACUUUCUGUUCGUCUCCCUUGUGACAAAAGGAUGGCAGAAACACGAGAGAAGAAAACCCAGAAGACCGAACUUGUCAGGCUGCCUGCUGACUGGCUUAAGUGAGUAAAAAUGAAAAGCAGGCUGAUCACAAAUGGGGUGCCUUUGUCCAAUUGGCUGAGGUCCUGACCGGCACCGCCAGCAAUUGAUGACAUUACUGUGUGAAACACAACGGGGAA